rnacentral:tRNA from 1 species
GGCUCAAUGGUCUAGUAGCAUGAUACGUGCUUCGGGAGUUUCCCGCCACAGCAGUGUGGCUGAAGAUGUACGUGACCCGGGUUCAAUUCCCGGUUGAGCCC